AGUUUGUAUAUGUCGGAGACUGUCAAUAGUACGGACACUAAACGUCACGCAAGCGCGCCCUCUGGUGGCGUUUCCGGUGAAACAACAUUUUGGCGCGCUUGGCAGAGUAGUGGUGGUCGGCGUGGCGUCCGCGGAGCUCAGUCUUGGUCGAGUCGUCGUGCUGCGCACAUCUCGAAACUGCCCUACUUCACGUCUAGUGUUAUCGCCUAGUGAUGUAGUACCGUUGUAGAUCCAUAUUGUAAAGUGUGUAAAGUGUCUUUUGAAAUUAAAGUGUAAAGGUUCUUCUAACCUAACAGACAGACAUGUGUUGCUGGGGAGUUUGUUCCGCCACUUCUUCUCCCCAAGCCAAAACACAUAGGAAGUGGCGAAGGGCGGGCGUUUUGGGGGCUGUCUUUUGUUCUGACUAAUUUGAAUAAACGUUUGACUUUUGAGUUCGUUUGAGUUUUGAGUUUCUUUGAGUUAUCUCUUUGCUUCAUUACCCUAACUGAUGUCGGACGAUAGUGCCAUCCUGAUGUUCGCCUCCGACAUCAGAAGUGGGAUGUAAUCCGAAUGCCCACAUGUGUUAAGAAUUCGCCAUGCGAAGAUAAAAUUCUGCCCAUUGACAAGAAAAAAAAAAAAUAGAACGUCGAUAAUUUCAAAUGUGAGUUUGUAGUAGAAGAUUUAUUGAGAAUUUCAGCGAAGGUACAAGUAUGGUAACCACGGUUACGGUAAUGGUGUAUCGGUUUCCAUUGUUACAUGUCAAGUUAGUUAUUGAAGGUAUGCUAGAAAAUUAACCGAAUUUGUCUUUUUUUUUCAUGUUUCAACAAUGACGGUGGUUAUUGUGCAAUAUGGCGUCAAAAUUAUUGCGGAGCAUCCCAGCUGCCUGCCAGGAGCCCAACGUGUCAACGUGUCGUGUGUUACUGCGCGCCAUAGCGAUGUGCGCAUCGUCAUGCGCGUUGAGGUGUUGAGUGGAAACCCGGUGAGACCGAUCCAUUUUUGCUUUAUGUUGAGGUUAUUUGUCUUACGACAUUUUUAAACUUGAGGCAGUUUCAGUCUCGUUGUUUAGUGGUAGUGCUCAUUAAUUGGUGGAAUCGUAGAUAAUCAGAAUCAGAAACCGUGAUCCUAGAUAACAUCUAAGGUGAACCGAGCCUGGAGAACAGGACGAGGUCUACUAGUCAAGCGGCGGGCGAGGUGCGCUGCAGUUGCUGUUUGCAGCGUCGUCCUCCCCCAGAUUUGUCGUGGAGGCCGUAUGAGUUGCGGCAGGCCAGGACAUCGCAUGUCAUCGCACAAGGUGAAAGCAUUCUAUUGCAUUGAAAAUGUUUAGAUUGAUCAGACAAACUUGACAAUAACUGGCCUGUGUGGCAGCUAGGAGCCUGUGUGGCAGCUAGGAGCCUGUGUGGCAGCUAGGAGCCUGUGUGGCAGCUAGGAGCCUGUGUGGCAGCUAGGAGCCUGUGUGGCAGCUAGGAGCCUGUGUGGCAGCUAGGAGCCUGUGUGGCAGCUAGGAGCCUGUGUGGCAGCUAGGAGCCUGUGUGGCAGCUAGGAGCCUGUGUGGCAGUUAGGAGCCUGUGUGGCAGCUAGUAGCCUGUGUGGCAGUUGGUAGCCUGUGUGGCAUUCAAGUGUGAGCGAUAUUAAUAAGCCUGUGUGGCGUAAUUAUGACCCUAUGUGGUUCUGUGGUUCAGAUGGAUCUGUGUGACUUUUGUUCAGUGUGCUACAUAGUGGUCAGGAGUGGCCGAGGUUGUACUGUGCAUACUGUGCUGUGUUUGUGUUGUUGCAGAUUAACCCACGAGGACGUGGGUCUACGCAGGAUGGCCGUGUCGGAGACUGUCAAUAGUACGGACACUAAACGUCACGCAAGCGCGCCCUCUGGUGGCGUUUCCGGUGAAACAACAUUUUGGCGCGCUUGGCAGAGUAGUGGUGGUCGGCGUGGCGUCCGCGGAGCUCAGUCUUGGUCGAGUCGUCGUGCUGCGCACAUCUCGAAACUGCCCUACGUCACGUCUAGUGUUAUUGCCUAGUGAUGUAGUACCGUUGUAGAUCCAUAUUGUAAAGUGUGUAAAGUGUCUUUUGAAAUUAAAGUGUAAAGGUUCUUCUAACCUAACAGACAGACAUGUGUUGCUGGGGAGUUUGUUCCGCCACUUCUUCUCCCCAAGCCAAAACACAUAGGAAGUGGCGAAGGGCGGGCGUUUUGGGGGCUGUCUUUUGUUCUGACUAAUUUGAAUAAACGUUUGACUUUUGAGUUCGUUUGA
rnacentral:lncRNA from 1 species